rnacentral:rRNA from 1 species
UUUCCGUAGGUGAACCUGCGGAAGGAUCAUUAAUAAACCUAGUCGUUCGCGUACAUAGGGGCAACCCUCGCGUGAUGUCAGCAAUACCUAGGUAACCCUUGAAUAAACUACCCUUGUUGCUUUGGCGGGUCGCCUUUUAGGCCAGCGGCUUCGGCUGCUGCGUGCCCGCCAGAGGACCACAACUCUUGUUUUUAGUGAUGUCUGAGUACUAUAUAAUAGUUAAAACUUUCAACAACGGAUCUCUUGGUUCUGGCAUCGAUGAAGAACGCAGCGAAAUGCGAUAAGUAAUGUGAAUUGCAGAAUUCAGUGAAUCAUCGAAUCUUUGAACGCACAUUGCGCCCUUUGGUAUUCCGAAGGGCAUGCCUGUUCGAGCGUCAUUAUAACCACUCAAGCCUUCGCUUGGUAUUGGGGUUCGCGCUUCCGCGGCCUCUAAAAUCAGUGGCGGUGCCUGUCGGCUCUACGCGUAGUAAUACUCCUCGCGUCUGGGUCCGGUAGGUUGCUUGCCAACAACCCCCAAUUUUUUACAGGUUGACCUCGGAUCAGGUAGGGAUACCCGCUGAACUAAGCAUAU